AUCCUUUGGAGUUCAUAAACAUGAUGACUGGGUAUUCACGUGCACGGGUGAGAUGUGCCACCCUUGAACCUUGUUAUGAUGCUGGUACAUUACCUAUCUGACA
ensembl:snoRNA